rnacentral:lncRNA from 1 species
CAAGGUAAAGUUGAGUAUAUGAGUAUUUAAAAAUGUAUAUAAUUUGAUGUUAACGUCUUGAUGUUUUCAGUAGCACAUCGCACCGUAGCCACAGCAUGAACAACCUCCUGGAGCUAACCAGCCAAUCAGAAUAUUCAGACACCCAGGGCUACAGUGACAUCCCGUCCCCAGAGGUACCUAUGCAUUGCGCGUCGGCUGAUCUUCGCCCAAUCUCUCCCCUCCCUGAAAAGAAGGCGGAGUCUAACAACGAGGUCAAGACCAGCCAGAAAACCUACAAUGAGAUUCUGCCUCCAGCCGCACCGCUCCGUCGUGGAUCAGCUGAUAUUCGACCAAUAUCUCCCCUCCCUGACAGGAGGGCGGUGUCUCAUUUUGAGAGCAAAGUAGAGCACAAAAAUUAUAAUGAACUCCCGCUUCCGGCUCCGCCCCUUACAAACUCUCCUCUCCCUGAGCGAAAGACUGAAUCAACCUCUGAGAGGCCAACCACUCAUGGACAACCACCAGAGCACCCGCUUUUCCCCAGAGGAUCAAAUCCUUUUGCCACAGUGAAGCUCCAUCCCACAGUCACCAAUGACAAAUCAGCACCACGGAUCCACUGACAGUCAUCGCAAAACAUCGCCUGCACUCUGACUGGUUCAGAGUCUGUACCAAAUGUCUCAAUUUGUUGAUAAGUGUACAAUGUAAGUCAACUUUAAUAUUAGAAUGAAAAGAGAUUUUUAAACUUAAUUUAAUGGCACUUUUUAAACUAACUUAGUAUUUAAUUUGAAUGGAUAUGUCCAGCUGUAUAACAUCACUCAGAGCAUUAUUUACAUUUUCUUUCAGCUAAAUCGGGUGACCUAAAUCUUUUGAAAGGGGUUAUUUAAUGAUAAAUGGAAUUAGACAUACUAAAAAAACAUCCUCCAAAAAGGACAAAUGUUACAGAAUAGCUUUAUGAUGUCAGGUUGAUGAACACCCAAGAGUUUCCACAUUUCCACAUCAACACAUGGGAGAGGGUUAA